rnacentral:rRNA from 1 species
AUAAGUGCUGAAAGCAUCUAAGCACGAAACUUGCCCCGAGAUGAGUUCUCCCUGAGACUUAAAGUCUCCUGAAGGAACGUUGAAGACGACGACGUUGAUAGGCCGGGUGUGUAAGCGCAGCGAUGCGUUGAGCUAACCGGUACUAAUGAACCGUGAGGCUUAACCUUAC